UUUCCGUAGGUGAACCUGCGGAAGGAUCAUUGUCGAAACCUGCAAAAGACAGAAUGACCCGCGAACAGGUGAAAAUUCAUUCGKGAGAGGUGCCCUCGGGGACUUUCUCCCGGAGUCCUUAGCCAAGGCCGUGCUUGAAACCCACGUCCUCGGCUACGGGCAAAAUCAACAACCCCGGGCGCGAGUCGCGCCAAGGAAAAUGAAGAAGGAUGAGCUCCCCUCGUCCCGGAAACGGUGGCGUUGGGAGUCACAUCGUCGUUAUCUCAUACGAAACGACUCUCGGCAACGGAUAUCUCGGCUCUCGCAUCGAUGAAGAACGUAGCGAAAUGCGAUACUUGGUGUGAAUUGCAGAAUCCCGUGAACCAUCGAGUUUUUGAACGCAAGUUGCGCCCAAAGCCGUCAGGCUGAGGGCACGCCUGCCUGGGUGUCACGAAAAGUCGCAAACAUCCCUCCCCUGUCCCGAAUGAGUAAAGGGCAGCGAGCGAUGGCGGAUAUUGGCCUCCCGUGCACUCGUGCGAACGGUUGGCCCAAAAUAUCGGGUCCCCACAGGGCGGCCACGACACACGGUGGUUGAAAGGACGCGCUCUCCUCGAACACCGUCGUGGGCUUGCCCAGUGAGCGGGAGCCAGAGACCCCGACGCAGAGCGUCAUCACGAAGCGACCCCAGGUCAGGCUGGAAC
rnacentral:rRNA from 1 species